UGCAGAAUCCCGUGAACCAUCGAGUUUUUGAACGCAAGUUGCGCCCGAAGCCUUUGGGCCUAGGGCACGUCUGCCUGGGCGUCACGCAUCGCGUCGCCCUCCCCCGUCCUCGUCCUGAGCGACGUGCGGGAGGGCGGAAAAUGGCCUCCCGUGCAAACGGCCGCGGCCGGCCUAAACCCGAGUCCCUCGCUUCGGACGUCACGACAAGUGGUGGUUGAAACCCUCAACUCGAAUGCUAAGUCGUGCGUUCCCCGCGGCGGAGGAGACUGCAGACCCGCGAGCGCUUGCCACGACCGCGACCCCAGGUCAGGCGGGACUACCCGCUGAGUUUAAGCAUAUCAAUAAGCGGAGGAAAAGAAACUAACAAGGAUUCCCUUAGUAACGGCGAGCGAACCGGGAAAAGCCCAAGCUUAGAAUCGGACGGCUUCGUCGUCCGA
rnacentral:rRNA from 1 species